CCUACGGGUGGCAGCAGUGGGGAAUAUUGGGCAAUGGGCGCAAGCCUGACCCAGCAACGCCGCGUGAAGGAAGAAGGCCCUCGGGUUGUAAACUUCUUUUGUCAGGGACGAAACACAUGACGGUACCUGACUAAUAAGCCACGGCUAACUACGUGCCAGCAGCCGCGGUAAUACGUAGGUGGCAAGCGUUAUCCGGAUUUACUGGGUGUAAAGGGCGUGUAGGCGGGAGAGUAAGUCAGAUGUGAAAUUCCAGGGCUCAACCCUGGAACUGCAUUUGAAACUGUUUUUCUUGAGUGAUGGAGAGGCAGGCGGAAUUCCGGGUGUAGCGGUGAAAUGCGUAGAUAUACGGAGGAACACCAGUGGCGAAGGCGGCCUGCUGGACAUUAACUGACGCUGAGGCGCGAAAGCGUGGGGAGCAAACAGGAUUAGAUACCCGUGUAGUC
rnacentral:rRNA from 1 species